GCAUGAGUCUGGUUUUCUUUCAUGAAGAAAGCAAGCCUAUGAGGUAACAUAAAUUCUGCGUCCUGGUAAUUGUGGCGCCAUUCCCAGGGACAUCAUUGUUCAAACCUCAAACUCAAAGCAUUCACCCUCCCCUUGUCGCUGCUCAUCCUGCGAAAACACCCAGACAACCUCUGUAGAGUACUCUAAUGGAGGAAAGUGUGUCGGCUUCAACCCCACAACCUCUUACGACGUUUCUGCCUCAAGUAACCAAGACGGACGUGGCGAAUAAUAGUGCAGGAGCAAUAGUGGUCGCAGAACCCGUCACGACGCCGGCGAGUGGCGGCCAAGGCAUCUUUGAUUUGUUGGGCAAGAAGAAGAGAGGAAGGCCCAGAAAAUACGACUCUGAUGGCAAUUUGACGAAGUCGUACCAGAACCAGUCUGGCUCUGCCUUCUCUUUCUCCUCCAAAAAGGCUCGACCCAAGCCUCUUCCCCACCUCUUUGCAUCCUUUGGUGGGUUUUUCGCAGACACAGCUGGUGGGGAUUUUACGCCUCAUGUGGUGACUGUUCAUACCGGAGAGGAUGUUGCCGGGAAAAUUCUUUCGUUCGCCCAGAACGGUCCCAGAGGAAUAUGCAUUCUUUCUGCCAAUGGAGCUAUCUCUAAUGUUUCAAUGCGCCAACCUGGUUCUUCCGGUGGCUUGUUGACUUACGAGGGUCGAUUUGAGAUUUUAUCUCUGUCUGGUUCAUUCACAAUGAACGACAAUGGUAGUGGCAUGACAAGCCGGACCGGUGGGUUGAGCGUCUCACUGGCUGGCCCGGACGGGCGAGUCAUUGGAGGUGGUGUUGCUGGUUUAUUGACAGCAGCUAGUCCAAUCCAGAUUGUUAUGGGAAGCUUCAUGUCAAAUGGUUGUUACCAUAAGAAACAUAAAAAGAAACAGCACCGACAACACACAGCGGCGUCUCCUAUUUCAGGUGGUCCAGACGCAGGGAUGGCAGCUAGGCCUGUCUCACACGAAAAUCCUAAUGGUGAGGCCUGUUUGAAACCAACGUCCCAGAUACCAGAACAAGGCCCGACAGAAUUUGAGGAUGUCACUCGCCAUAAACAGAACUCAGAUACUGCGCCGAAUGAGCAUUUGAACGGUUCUCAACACUUGUCGGAUCAACGGUCAUACCCGGACAUCAACAUAUCUCUUCCUGCCCGAUAGAUAUUUUAGGUACACUUCUUCAAAAUCAGCUCAGCAUCGUGUCAGUUGGGUUAUUUUUUGUUUCAGGUGAUUUGGAGGCUGACAUGAUAACAGAAUGAAACUAACUGGUACCUUUUGGCUUGACAACCAGAUUAUUUUGUUCUAGUGUAAUUUUCUUUGUAUUAGGAUAUUUGUGUGAAAUUAGAGAGGAAUGAGGACUCAUCUUUUUGUUUGAUCUCUAGUUCUUUAAUGUAUCAGAGACUAUCACCAUAUUACUCGUAGAAGUUUGUUAAUUAAGGUUUGCUGUUUCACUUAUGCCCGCUCAUUCAUGAGUUUUCUCUCAGUAGCGUUCUGAGGCUAAUGGUACCUUUGACGCAUGAA